CAACUGAUUUGAAGAGCUUGCUCAGAUAUGACGAUGGACAUUGCAAAGAGUGGCGAACGGGUGAGUAACACGUGGGAAACCUACCUCUUAGCAGGGGAUAACAUUUGGAAACAGAUGCUAAUACCGUAUAACAAUAGCAACCGCAUGGUUGCUACUUAAAAGAUGGUUCUGCUAUCACUAAGAGAUGGUCCCGCGGUGCAUUAGUUAGUUGGUGAGGUAAUGGCUCACCAAGACGAUGAUGCAUAGCCGAGUUGAGAGACUGAUCGGCCACAAUGGGACUGAGACACGGCCCAUACUCCUACGGGAGGCAGCAGUAGGGAAUCUUCCACAAUGGGCGAAAGCCUGAUGGAGCAACGCCGCGUGUGUGAUGAAGGGUUUCGGCUCGUAAAACACUGUUGUAAGAGAAGAAUGACAUUGAGAGUAACUGUUCAAUGUGUGACG
rnacentral:rRNA from 1 species